CAUCGCCUCUUGCCUAAUAGAGUAUAAGAGGUCCCACCUGCCCUGUGACUUUAAGUUUAACGGCCGCGGUAUCCUAACCGUGCGAAGGUAGCGCAAUCAAUUGCCUUUUAAAUGAAGGCCUGUAUGAAUGGUAUAACGAGGGUUUAACUGUCUCUUUUUUCUAGUCAGUUAAACUGAUCUGUCCGUGCAGAAGCGGACAUUACUAUACAAGACGAGAAGACCCUAUGGAGCUUUAGACACCAGCCAACUGUGAAAUAGCGAUUAAUACACCUUAUUCCCAAACAUCCGCAGCCUCUGGUAAAGUGUCUUAGGUUGGGGCGACCACGGGAGAAAGAAAAGCUCCCGAGCAGAACAGGGUUCACCCUGGAACUAAGAACGACAGCUCUAAGUCACAAAAUAUUUGACUGAAAUGAUCCGGACUAACAACCGAUUAACGAACCAAGUUACCCUAGGGAUAACAGCGCAAUCCCCUCCCAGAGUCCCUAUCGACGAGGGGGUUUACGACCUCGAUGUUGGAUCAGGACAUCCUAAUGGUGCAGCCGCUAUUAAGGGUUCGUUUGUUCAACGAUUAAAGUCCUACGUGAUCUGA
rnacentral:rRNA from 1 species